CGGACGGGUGAGUAACGCGUGGGUAACCUGCCUUGUACUGGGGGACAACAGUUAGAAAUGACUGCUAAUACCGCAUAAGCGCACAGUAUCGCAUGAUACAGUGUGAAAAACUCCGGUGGUACAAGAUGGACCCGCGUCUGAUUAGCUAGUUGGUAAGGUAACGGCUUACCAAGGCGACGAUCAGUAGCCGACCUGAGAGGGUGACCGGCCACAUUGGGACUGAGACACGGUCCAGACUCCUACGGGAGGCAGCAUG
rnacentral:rRNA from 1 species